GGGUCUGGUUUGUACCCUCAGUUAUUAACCAUAAGUAUUUGUGUCAUGUGUUUUUGCCUGGGAAGGGGUCCAGAGAUUGGAGAGUAGUGUUCAGUCAUCAGUGGGUAGAAAUUGAUCAACUGUAGAAAGAAAUAAAUUACCAUGGAUAUGUACAUCAGCUGUGUCUGGUUUCUAGAGGCUAGGCUCGUGACUAGCUGAAAUAAUGAAAGGGAAAAGUGUGGGUAAUUUUCAAGUAAUUGAUAUAUUUGGGGCUCAUGUAAGCCACAAUUAUGAUUGUCACCUAAUUUGAUCCUUAUCUCAGAGCCAAAUCUUCUCACAGAGUUGUUCACAUGGGAUGCGUUUUUGAUCUUGAUUAUGGAGUCUUCAAUUCUCUUUCCAAAUGUUCAUUCUUCUCCCUCUGCAUGCCCCUCAGCACUAGAUUUUAUCAUCAGGCACAGAACAUCUUUCUGUGCAAUCUCUUCCAUACUCCAGGUGGCGAAUUAAAAACUAUAUGAGCAUGACUGGAAGUAAAACAUUUAGGCAGUACUUGCUGCUCUGGAGACAUUCAAAGAACAAUAAACCCCUCCAAUGCAGUAUUUAUUGACCUCCAAAAGUGAUAGCUAAUAGUGAAGACAGAGUGCCUGGGAGCUCCAGGCUAUACUCCAUGUUGAGACUGGCUGGGAGGUCUUCAGAAGUCCUCAGAUUGAGUGGUAGGUUCGCUUUAAAUCGACCAAAAAUUGUCAUCAAAAUUCAUGACUCUUUUUUACCCCAGCUUUCCUCCAACUAAUUGGGCCCUCUUCCUGGUCUCAAAAGCAUCGAGUUUUUAUUUGUCUCAGUGCCUUUGCACUUUCUGCUCUCUCUACUACAAUGCUCUUCCCAGAGCCCUACACAUAGUUGGUUAGCACAUUCUCGUCUUUCUGGCAUCAACUUAAAUACCGUCCCCACAAAGAGAUCGUCUUUGAACAAUCAAUUUAAAGUAAUCCAUCCAUGCCUUUUAUUUUCUUUAUGACACUUAUCUCAACUUUGUUCAUUUUGUGUCUCUUCCAUCAGACAAAAACCUCCUCUAAAGCAGAAAUUUUCAUCCUUCCUGCUCUAUGCUGAGUGCCCAGCCCAAUGGCAGACAAACCUGAUGCUCAGUAAUUAUUUGUUAAACAAAAUGGCAAGUGUGAGUGCUGUAGAGUAUUAUAUAUUUAAAUAUUAAUUUCAAGGAUUUUCAAGACUUUUGUUGACUUCUUCAAUGCAAUCUCCUCCCAUGCUGUAAGCACCUGGGGGCUCUUUUCCACCUCUUCCCUCUGCCAUCACAGUGUCUGACACAUAACAGAUACUAAAGAAACAUUUGCAGAAUCAGUGAGUGAUUCCAAAUUAAUUUGUAUUGGGUAUUUUAAUAUAGUCAUAAGUACAUCUCCGUGUCCAAGUGCAUCUCCAUGUCCAAGUAUAUAUCCAUGCCCAAGUACAUCUCCAUGCCCAAGUACAUCUCCAUGUCCGAGUACAUCCCCAUGUCCAAAUACAUCUCCAUAUCCAAUUACGUGUCCAUGUCCAAGUACAUUCAAGUACAUCCCCAUGUCCCACAUAUACCUGAGGAUACUGAAGCUUAGUGUGGUGGGCAGAAUAAUGCCCCUUCCUCAUAGAUGUCUAUACUCUAGUCCCUGGGACCUGUGCACAUUACCUUGUGUGGAAAAGGGAAUUUGCAGAUGUGACUCAGGUAAGGAUCUUGAGAUGGGGGGAUUAUCCUGGAUUGUACUGUUAGGUUCAAUAUAAUCACAAGAGUCCCUGUAUGAGGGAAGCAGGAAGGUCAGAACCUGAGAAAAGGCAGAGGUCAGAGUGAUGCAUUUGCUCCCUGGAGGACACAGUGAAAGAAUGUAAACAGCCCCUAGAAGUUAGAAAAGGCAAAGAAAUGAAUCCCCCUUAGAGAUUCCACAAGGAAGGCAAUCUUACUGACAUUUUGAUUUUAGCCCGUGAAAUCCAUUUUGGACUUCCAACCUUCAGCGCUGUAGAUAAUACAUUUGUGGCAUUUUAAGCACUAAGUUUGUGGUAAUUUGUGACAGAAGCAACAGGAAACUCAUACACUUAGUUCCUCACAUUGAGCCCUAACCACUCUAGCUCUCUGUCCAUCCCUGUUCCCUAUUAGCUAGAUUCCCUAAUUCACACACCUGGCAUCUCCAGAGAGGGAGUUCUAGAGUGUGGGACUGUCCCACCAAUCUAUGUGGAUUGUGAGUAGGUAGAUCAGAGAUCCAUGGAAGGCCGUCAAGACCAUCAGUGGUUGGCGUAGGUCAUGAAUAUGAUAGGGCCUUGAGGCACUUAAAGCAUUCUUAUUGAGUCACGGUGACAAGCUACUCUCUGGAUAAGUCUUCUUGAAAUGGAUUUUAGUCAAGCUUAGCACCAACGGCCAUUAGGAAGCCAACAACAUAACACAUUCCUCCUCUGUACUUAGCGGAUUAUUUAGUGAACUCAGCCGUGCUUCCCUUGAAGGAGUGAAAACAGACAUGGAAACUGGGGUGAGGCACACAGUGCAGCAUACAUCUGCCCUGGUGUGGACCUCUGCAUGAAGAAAUGUGAUGUACUAAAUAAACCCCUAUCACCAGGAAGCUUGUCUUCUUAUCUCAGACCUGCCACCUAUAAACUAUGUGACUUCCUGGUGUUAUAAUUU